UACAGAGGGUGCAAGCGUUAAUCGGAAUUACUGGGCGUAAAGCGCGCGUAGGCGGCUUGACAAGUCGCGUGUGAAAGCCCCCGGCUCAACUGGGGAGGGUCACGCGAUACUGAUCGACUCGAAGGCAGGAGAGGGUAGUGGAAUUCCAGGUGUAGCGGUGAAAUGCGUAGAUAUCUGGAGGAACACCGGUGGCGAAGGCGGCAUCCUGGACCGGUAUUGACGCUGAGGCGCGAAAGCCAGGGGAGCAAACGGG
rnacentral:rRNA from 1 species